AACGAACGCUGGCGGCGUGCCUAACACAUGCAAGUCGAACGGGAAAACCCGCAAGGGUGAGUACAGUGGCGCACGGGUGCGUAACACGUGGGUAAUCUGCCCAGAAGCCCGGAAUAACUCCCCGAAAGGGGUGCUAAUGCCGGAUGAGACCACGGGGACUUCGGCUCCUGGGGGAAAAGGUGGCCUCUGUAUACAAGCUAUCACUUCUGGAUGAGCCCGCGGCCCAUCAGCUAGUUGGCGGGGUAAUGGCCCACCAAGGCUACGACGGGUAGCUGGUCUGAGAGGACGAUCAGCCACACUGGAACUGAGACACGGUCCAGACUCCUACGGGAGGCAGCAGUGGGGAAUCUUGCGCAAUGGGCGAAAGCCUGACGCAGCAACGCCGCGUGUGUGAUGAAGGUCUUCGGAUCGUAAAGCACUGUCGGGAGGGACGAAUAAGGGCCGGGUGAACAAUCCGGUUCGACGACGGUACCUCCAGAGGAAGCACCGGCUAACUCUGUGCCAGCAGCCGCCGUAAAAC
rnacentral:rRNA from 1 species